rnacentral:rRNA from 1 species
CCUACGGGUGGCAGCAGUGGGGAAUAUUGGGCAAUGGGCGCAAGCCUGACCCAGCAAUGCCGCGUGAAGGAAGAAGGCUUUCGGGUUGUAAACUUCUUUGACAGGGGAAGAGCAGAAGACGGUACCCUGAAAACAAGCCAGGGCUAACUACGUGCCAGCAGCCGGGGUAAUACGUAGGUGGCAAGCGUUGUACGGAUUUAUUGGGUGUAAAGGGCGUGUAGCCGGGAAGGCAAGUCAGAUGUGAAAUCUGGAGGCUCAACCUCCAAAUUGCAUUUGAAACUGUUUUUCUUGAGUACUGGAGAGGCAGACGGAAUUCCUUGUGUAGCGGUGAAAUGCGUAGAUAUAAGGAGGAACACCAGUGGCGAAGGCGGUCUGCUGGACAGCAACUGACGGUGAGGCGCGAAAGCGUGGGGAGCAAACAGGAUUAGAUACCCCAGUAGUC